rnacentral:lncRNA from 1 species
CAGCUUUAAUUUUGGUGAAAUGCGGUCUGAUAAGUAAGCAAUAAGUAAAUAAAAUACUAGUAAUAUGCAAGUGAAGUGAAGUGACUCCUCCUCUUUCAUAUGUUGGUGAAUGAAAGGAGACAAUAAAGUUGAAUAUAGUACAUGGCAUGCAGUUUAAUUUAUUUAUUUGGAUUGAUGUAAACAGAAAGUUGGAAGAACCUUUGUCUUUUUUUUCAGCCAGCUGGUGAUUUGGCUUUGGAUAAGAACUUAACAUGCAGUCAAUGUAAUCCCUUAUUAUCAGGGAAUAUGUACGUACAAAUGUACAAAAUGUGCUGCUACUCCUGCAAUAUUACUUGUCCUGCAUGUCCGGAUGGAUGGAUGCAUGCAUGUG